UUGGAGAAUUUCCAAUUUGAUAGCACUUUCACCAGAAAGGGUUUUAUCCAGUGGUCUAAAAAUGUAUGUGGUGGAGAGCAAAGGAGGGGCUAUUGUUUGCAUGUUAUUGUCUUUGUUCUUCUUAGGGACAUGGCCAGCUUUACUAACUUUACUUGAAAGAAGAGGGAGAUUUCCUCAACACACUUACCUUGAUUAUACUUUCACCAAUCUGUUGGCUGCUGUUAUAAUCGCUUUUACCAUUGGUGAGAUUGGGACAGGCACAUUGGAAAAGCCGAAUUUCCUUCCACAACUCUCCCAGGUUGGUGCCUUUCACAGUCAAGAACAUUGUAUGUGUAUGAGCGUAGGUAAAUCCAGAAUUCAGAUUUGAAAGGAUUAGUAGUAUACACAAUAAAUAAACCACCAAAUCAUGAACUUUUUUAUAUUAUCACUUGACAAAACUUUGGAGUUUGAACUGAUUAUAGUUUAUAAUAUAACUAAAAAUUACUUUAGUAUAGACCUUUUGGAACCAAUUAUAGCUCGUUUAGCCAUGCUGCAAAAAUUAGAAGUGCUUUUCUCAAAAGUGCUUCUAAGUGUAUUUUUCUCAAAAGUGCUUCUCAAACAAGUAUUUUUGGAGAGAAGUUACCUUUUUGUGCUUCUCCAAAAUUGCUUCUGCUUCUACUCAAAAACAACUUUUUUUCCUUCCAUCAGCUUAGCCAACCUACUCAAUUUUUGGCCAAAAGUUCUUUUGGCCAAAAAGCUAUUAGUCUUGUCAGGCCAGUGUUUAGUGUCACAUUAAAGGUGGUGGUGUAAAUUAGUUUCUGGUUUCGUUUGGUUUUCUGAAUACUAUGUGCUCUAUUUGAGUAAAAGUGAUUUUAAUAUGUGACACUUUUGCUGGAAGUCUUGGAUUGGAAAAUUAACACUCUAGUUUUGGCAUUUGGGACUUAAUACUUUGGAAGUUAUUAUUCAACACUUAAAUUUCUGAGUUCUUAUGUCUUGGUUUAAUAAACCAAAUUUUAUUAAAAAUAUGAUUAAAGAACAAGUUGAUUUCCCUGUUCAACA
rnacentral:lncRNA from 1 species